GACGAACGCUGGCGGCGUGCUUAACACAUGCAAGUCGAACGGAAAGGCCCUGCUUUUGUGGGGUGCUCGAGUGGCGAACGCGUGAGUAACACGUGAGUAACCUGCCCUUGACUUUGGGAUAACUUCAGGAAACUGGGGAUAAUACCGGAUAGGAUCUCCUGCUGCAUGGUGGGGGUUGGAAAGUUUCGGCGGUUGGGGAUGGACUCGCGGCUUAUCAGCUUGUUGGUGGGGUAGUGGCUUACCAAGGCUUUGACGGGUAGCCGGCCUGAGAGGGUGACCGGCCACAUUGGGCCUGAGAUACGGCCCAGACUCCUACGGGAGGCAGCAGUGGGGAAUAUUGCACAAUGGGCGGAAGCCUGAUGCAGCAACGCCGCGUGCGGGAUGACGGCCUUCGGGUUGUAAACCGCUUUCGCCUGUGACGAAGCGUGAGUGACGGUAAUGGGUAAAGAAGCACCGGCUAACUACGUG
rnacentral:rRNA from 1 species